rnacentral:rRNA from 1 species
GGAAGGAUCAUUAUUGAAUGAACUUGGUGUGGUUGUUGCUGGCCCUCUCGGGGGCAUGUGCACACCCACCAUCCUCAUCUCUCCACCUGUGCACCUCUUGUAGACCUGGAUAGACUUUCCGAGGCAACUCGGUCGGGAAGAUUGCUGUGCUCUGUGAGCCAGCUUUCUUUGCAUGUCCAGGCCUAUGUUUUUCAUAUACCCCUAUAGAAUGUAACAGAAUGUAUCAUUGGGCCUUGUGCCUAUAAACCUUAUACAACUUUCAGCAACGGAUCUCUUGGCUCUCGCAUCGAUGAAGAACGCAGCGAAAUGCGAUAAGUAAUGUGAAUUGCAGAAUUCAGUGAAUCAUCGAAUCUUUGAACGCACCUUGCGCUCCUUGGUAUUCCGAGGAGCAUGCCUGUUUGAGUGUCAUUAAAUUCUCAACCUUAUUAGCUUUUGUUGAUAAUGGAUUGGAUGUGGGGGUUUAUUUGCUGGCUUCUUCACAGAGAUCAGCUCCCCUUAAAUGCAUUAGCUGGUGCCCCGCGUGGACCAUCUAUUGGUGUGAUAAUUAUCUACGCCGUGGAUGUCUGCAAUCAUAUGGGUUUUGCACUGCUUCUAACCGUCUGUUCAUUCGGACAAUACAUGACAAUUUGACCUCAAAUCAGGUAGGACUACCCGCUGAACUUAAGCAUAUCAAUAAGCGGAGGAAAAGAAACUAACAAGGAUUCCCCUAGUAACUGCGAGUGAAGCGGGAAAAGCUCAAAUUUAAAAUCUGGCGGUCUCCGGCCGUCCGAGUUGUAAUCUAGAGAAGUGUUAUCCGCGCUGGACCGUGUACAAGUCUCCUGGAAUGGAGCGUCAUAGAGGGUGAGAAUCCCGUCUUUGACACGGACUGCCAGGGCUUUGUGAUGCGCUCUCAAAGAGUCGAGUUGUUUGGGAAUGCAGCUCAAAAUGGGUGGUAAAUUCCAUCUAAAGCUAAAUAUUGGCGAGAGACCGAUAGCGA